rnacentral:rRNA from 1 species
UUCGCAAUGCCCGAAAGGGUGACGAAGCGACGCCGCGUGUGGGAAGAAGGCCUUCGGGUUGUAAACCACUGUCGGGAGUUAAGAAAUGCAAGGAUAUGAAUAGUGUCUUUGCUUGACUAAGGCUCCGGAGGAAGCCACGGCUAACUCUGUGCCAGCAGCCGCGGUAAUACAGAGGCGGCAAGCGUUGUUCGGAAUUAUUGGACGUAAAGAGUACGUAGGCGGCUAUGUAAGUCGGUUGUGAAAGCCUUCCGCUCAACGGGAGAACAGCAUCCGAUACUACAUGGCUUGAGUGCGGGAGGGGAGAGUGGAACUUCUGGUGGAGCGGUGAAAUGCGUAGAUAUCAGAAGGAACGCCGGCGGCGAAAGCGGCUCUCUGGCCCAUAACUGACGCUGAGUGUGCGAAAGCUAGGGGAGCAAACGGGAUUAGAUACCCCGGUAGUCCUAGCCGUAAACGAUGGGCACUAAGUAGAGGGGUUUU